rnacentral:rRNA from 1 species
GACGAACGCUGGCGGCGUGCCUAACACAUGCAAGUCGAACGGAGCAGAGACUUCGGUUUUUGCUUAGUGGCGAACGGGUGAGUAACGCGUGAGAAACCUGCCUUUCAGUGGGGGACAACAGUUGGAAACGACUGCUAAUACCGCAUAAUGUAUCGAGAGGGCAUCCUCUUGAUACCAAAGAUUUAUUGCUGAAAGAUGGUCUCGCGUGUGAUUAGCUGGUUGGAGAGGUAACGGCCCACCAAGGCGACGAUCAGUAGCCGGUCUGAGAGGAUGGACGGCCACAUUGGGACUGAGAUACGGCCCAGACUCCUACGGGAGGCAGCAGUGGGGAAUAUUGGGCAAUGGGGGAAACCCUGACCCAGCAACGCCGCGUGAAGGAAGAAGGCCUUCGGGUUGUAAACUUCUUUUACCAGGGACGAAGAACGUGACGGUACCUGGAGAAAAAGCAACGGCUAACUACGUGCCAGCCGCCGCUGUAACAC